rnacentral:lncRNA from 1 species
UUGUUGAUUGCCUGCCAGAAGUCUCGCCAUGGCCAACUCCUUUUCCUUGUUUCUUCUUCUCCCCCUCGUCUUCCUUGGCAUCAUAGCCACGGCAACCAGCGAUGAAUACACUGCACCGGAAGAGAAGAUGACCCACCUGCAUUUCUACUUUCACGAGAUAUACGCCGGCGCAAACGUGACCACGAUGGUCGUCGCAGUCCCGCCGGGCACCAACUCCUCGUUCACCACCUUCGGCGCGCUCGUCGUCAUCGACGACAUGCUGAGGGAAGGCCCGGACCCGAGCUCGAAGCUCAUCGGGAGGGCGCAGGGGCUGGUGGCGCAGGCCUCCCAGGAGGGCUCGGCGCUGCUCACGGCUUUCAACUUCGUGUUCACGGAGGGGGAGUUCAACGGGAGCACGCUGGCGAUCCUGGGCAGGGCCAAGCUGAGUGAGCCGCCGGUCGAGCGCAGCAUCGUCGGAGGGUCGGGCAAGUUCCGGAUGGCCAGGGGGUACACCGAGGCUCGAGUCAUCAGUUCGAAGGACGGCUACUUCCUCAUGGAGUUCGAUGCCUAUGUCACUCAUUACUGAAUUGUUUCACGUUAAUGUUUGCGGAAAUAAGCGCUUUUGGCUAUUUGGAUGUGUUCGGAGGCUGAUGCAUGUUUUCCCUCCUUGGAUAUAUAGAGCAAGCAAUAAGAAAACCUUCGGGUUUGCUUCAAACAAUUUAGAGUCUGCAAUCUUGUUUCCAAAACAUGUUUGCUUCAGCAGCCGGUACUUUCCAGCAGUAACAUAGUAACUCCACAACUACAAUUCCUUUUACCUGUCUUCAACAUCAACACAACCGGCAAAAUAAGAAGAUGUUGCCGUGAACACCACGCUGCUUGAAGCUUUCUUUCGCGGUCAAUACGUUUACUUUGAACCGGCAGUGUCUGCCACUUUGUCUUGACUCUGAGUUCUAGAAAUCAAAGGUAUAAAUAUUAAAAUGGUAUCAUAAUAUAUAUAUAUAUAAUAUGAAAGUCAAUUAUGAUCAAAAUAUAUUGACAAACUGAUCGAGAAAUAAAAAUCGUUAUCACAAAGCGGCGGCUGGGGAAGGGAGAUGGGUGGGGACGCGGGCUGCCCGAGGCGGAGAGCGGGUAGCGGCGGUGGCCGGGAAAGGCAGCCAAGAGGGGCGAGGGCUGCUUGAGGCAGAGAGAGGGAAGAGAGAGAGAGAGGUACCGCCGGAGGGGAGGCGUUGCCGAUCACCGAUCGCCGACAGCGGAGAGUUGAGUUUCGAAUCUCGUUGAGAAAUGAGUCGGCGCUUCGCUGGGAUUGAAAUGGAAGGCGUAGGAUUCGAUGAGUUCCCGAUCGUCCACCAUCCUACUGCAUAGACCAUCUAUCCGACGCUUCUGAAUCUAAUUUGUUUCGGUCUUUGUCGUAACGAGGUGUUCUUUUAUGCACCAACAGAAGAUUGGUGCAAAAAGUCACGAGCGGCUGUUCUUUAUUUUCCUUCGAGUGCAAAAGGUCACCCGCGAGCAAUACUUCUAAUGGAAAUGGAGGAACGCCGCAUAUGCGACGACAACUGAGUGAGAAUACAACUCAAGACAUCACGCAGCGGCAUCCACCUUCAGCUCAGUUAUCACCAUCGAAAGGUCUCCGUCGCACACAGUCUGGUCUCAUCCUCCUCCAUGCGUUCCGGUAAGAACGCAAAUCAACAGAUAAUUUUCCAUUGAUUUUGAAGACGGCAGCACAUUGUUUCGUUGAAUGCACUGUACACGCCUCCUAAUGCAUCAUCGUUUGACUACUUGCAUGGAUUUGACUGAGCGAGCUAUGUACUGUAGAAAAAUCGAGGAAAAUAAGUAACUUGUUGAUGUCGAAGAGUCUUUACCGUCCAUUUGGACUUGUCAGCAGCAUCCACAUGAAUCUCACCGUCUGAUCAAUCAACAUCUUAAAAGGUGUUAUAUCAAUUUAAGUGUACUUUUCUUACCUGUCAAUCUUUUCUUGACUUGUCCACCAUAGUACAUUCGGUUGUUGGCGUCAACAAGCAUCCAUUUGAAAUAGUUCAAUUAUAUAUGUAACACUGUUUUCUAAGAGACACUAUUGAAGCUUCUCCUUCUUUACCUAAUGCCUACAAUAACCUCCACCCACCUAUCCUUUUUCCUUUCUUUUCUUAUAAUAUUUUCACAAUGGGCUAUAAUAUUUUUAAUAAUACUAGGAAAAAAAAACCAUAACAUAUGUUAUAGUAUUUUUCUGAUAUUCUUGAAAACACUGCAACUUAGUGUAAAAAAAAUCGUAAACAUAGUAUUUUUACAUAAUAGCGUAAUAAUUUUACGCUACAUUAUAUUGUUGAAAGCACUAGUAUUAUCCGAUUAUCAUCGUGUAAAAAUAUUAUAAUAUUUUCACAAUGGGCUAUAAUAUUUUUAAUAAUACUAGGAAAAAAAACCAUAACAUAUGUUAUAGUAUUUUUCUGAUAUUCUUGAAAACACUACAACUUAGUGUAAAAAUAUUGUAAACAUAGUAUUUUUCCAUAAUAGCGUAAAAAUUUUACGCUACAUUAUUAUCCGAUUAUCAUCGUGUAAAAAUAUUAUAAUUGGAUAAAUUUAUUGUGUAUUAGAUUAAAAAAAUUAGUAGGGAAUUUCGAAAAUGAGGACACUUUUAAUCAUAUUAAUUGUGGAGGGAUAUAUUUGUAAUUUUGCCAAUCCAAAAAAUGUGAUUCCCACCCUUUUUGGUUUUCUAAAGUUGUGGAUAAUUAAGGAAACGUAAUAAAUCCCUCUUAAACUCCGCUAUAAAGCCACAGCCUCUUCUCCACCCCAUUCCUCCAUCCGCUUCUUGGCUAAGUGCACCACAAGCUUCUCCAUGGCCUACUCCUCCUCUCCCUGCGUGCUUGUUCUUCUCCUUCUUCUUCCCUUCUCCCUCUCUGCCUUUGUUGCCACCGCAGAGAGCCAUGAAUACACUCCACCCCCAGAGAAGAUGACGCACCUCCACUUCUACUUCCACGAGAAAUACACCAGCCCGGAGGCGACCGCGGUCCUCGUCGCGGUCCCUCCCGGCACCAACGCCACCUUCGACACCUUCGGGGCGCUCAUCGUCAUCGACGACGUGCUGAGGGACGGCCCCGAGGAGAGCUCCAAGCUCAUCGGGAGGGCGCAGGGGUUGGCGGCGCAGGCCUCCCUGGAGGGCACGCAGAUACUGACGGCCGUCAACUUCGUGUUCACGGAGGGGGAGUACAACGGGAGCACGGUGGCGAUCCUUGGCCGGAUUGUCCCCACCGUAUCGCCGACCGAGCGGGCCAUCGUCGGAGGGUCGGGCAAGUUCCGGAUGGCGCGGGGGUACACGGUGGGCAACACCUACAGCUUCAGCGGAGGCUACUUCAUCUUGGAGCUCGAUGCUUAUAUCAUCCAUUACUGAGCUGCGUGCAUCGCUUCCGUCGCAUGAACGUAGCUUUUGCUUGUUUGCUUGCUUACUUUCUUGCUAUUGGAAAUAAAGUCUUGUGAUGUGUGACUGGGCAUAUCGGAUGUCGGCUUUGGAUUUAUUCCAUGGUAUGUUGAUGUAUGACUUACUAUAUUCCAUGGAUUUAUUCCAAUUAUAACGAAAUAAGUCUUUGAUCGUAAUAAGUGGUGAAGGCAAGAUUCGAGUUAAAGACCUUACGAUAAUUCACCCGACACACCACUAAAUAUCUCUUUAACUAUGAAAUACCGAUAGAAUCAUGAUAUAUCUCUUUGACUCAUCGAGAGAUAAGAACUUGAGUUCAUUUUAGUCUUUGGAAAUGGUAUCUUUCAUCAAAAUUAUGGGGUUACUUAACUUUAGCAAAUCAAUGACUUUGGUAGCCUUUAACAAAAGAAAGAAUAUUUCAUGUGACUUUUGCAUGGAAUUUCCUCUAAGGCCAAUAAAAGUUAGUUUGGCAAAAAAGAAAAGGUGACUUUAGGAUUAAUAUGAAGAUUACUUUUCAUUUAAAUAAGUAUCACAAUUUAGAAUAUAAUGUAAAAUCAUACUUUUUCAAAAUAUCGUUACCUAAUUUUGUUGGAAAAUGAAAAAAAAGUUGCAUAUAUAACAUGAAAAUAACUAUAUAUGAAAUUAUCAAAAUAUCGUUACCUAAUUAUGAAAUUAUUUUCCUCGAUCGACACAAAGGGUUUUAAUUCUAUAAAUAACAUGAAAAUAACUAUGGCAAAUAAAAAUAUUAAAUGAAGAAGCCAAGACCACUAAGGUAUGCUCGAAAACUAUUCAACUAAUCCAAGUCUUAAUAUACCUUAUCUUUGUUCAAACUUCACCUACUCAAAUACAGAUCUUAUUAUCCUAAUAUAUAAGUCAGCAUGAAGGUAAGAGUAUAUGUCGACGUGAAGACUAGGCGUUUCUUUAUGAGGUGUUCUUCAAGCAUCACGUCAACAUCAUCUUUAACCCUUUGAUUCUCCAAACCCUGUCCAUGCAAUCCAGAAGAUAGAAACCCAAGGCGGGCAGUAGUGCAGACUAAAGUCAGAUCCGCCUUUGUAUCAGAUCUCAAGCUUGGCAAUUCUGUUCAUUCAAUUAGUAUAUAUCUUGAUUCCUAAGUGUUUUAGGAGUUUUAAUUAGUUCUAAUUAUUUGGAUUAGGAUUAAGGAUUCAUAUAGGAAAAUAAAUUCUUAGUCAAUUAAGAGUAUUUUGAGAUCUCACUGUGUGUGUGAGAGAGAGAGAGAGAGAGAGAGAGAAAUGAGUUCUUAGUGAACUAAGAUUAUUACACUGAAUCUCAAGAUUUUAGUGAAAGAGAUAUAUAGGAAGAUAUUCUAAAUACUUUUGGAUUAUAUUCGAUGGGUCUAAUGAAAGGUCAAGAAAACAAAAUCUUAGGAUGUGUGUAAAAGAUUCAAAGCUUAAUAUAUAAUGAGUAUUUGUUUUUCUUAUAUAAUGAAUAAUCCGAUUUUACAUGAGAGUAUCGAAUCAUGUAAUUUUUUAUUUUUUAUUUAUAUAUUUAUAUAUAUUUUUAAAGAAUAAUUAUUAUUGUGGAAAGUACACAGACACUGUACAGUUCAUCUCAGCUCAACUCGUUUAAUCUUUUCUAGUGACGGUGACAUCAAGGAAAUUGAUGUAAGAUGCCAAUUAGAAUGUCCAUUUUUUUUGACACAUACCUCCAAUUUUUGUACAUGGUUUUGACCGAGUGACCUAUUAAGAUUUUGACUAUCCAAGUUUGAGACCGAUUUAACUUCAACUUUAUACUCUUUUUUUUUUUGGUCUAAAAGCGAAAUCCUCAUAAUCAAAUAUUAUAAUUUUAUAAAAUUAUAUCGAGCGUAUUUUCUGCGAUACCCCUCAAAUGUCUAAACUAGUAAUCUAGAUUGUUUUAAUCUCUAGACAUAUCUAUGCUUCGCGACUAUCAUGAUCAUCUAUUACUACAGUAAUUGAGGUGUAAGAAUAGAUUAUAUUCGUCAUCCAUUACACUAUUUUUUGUGUAGUAAUCGAAAAAGUGAGGGCACACGUGUCAUGGUAAAAAAAUGAUGUGGCUAACUUAUCAGCUGCUUGUCAUCACAUCAUUUUUACCAGAAGUUGGUGUAAACCAGCAAUACAAUGCAACCCAUCAAAAUGCUCUUUAACAUGCUUAUACAUCCUCCAUCCACUUCUUGGCUGCUUGCAAAGGCAAAGCUUCUCCAUGGCCUACUCCUACUCUCCCUUGGUGCUUCUUCUUCUUCUCCUCCUCCUUCCCUUCUCCGUCUCCGCCGCUGUUGCCACCGUGACCGGCCAUGAAAACACUGCACCCAGAGAGAAGUUGACCCACCUGCACUUCUUCUUCCACGGGAGAUUCGCCAGCCCGAACGCGACCGCAGUCCUCGUCGCAGUCCCUCCCGGCACGAACGCCACCUUCAACACCUUCGGGGCGGUCAUCGUGCUGGACGACAUGCUGAAGGACGGCCCCGAGGCGAGCUCGAAGCUCAUCGGGCGGGCGCAGGGGCUGACGGCGCAGGCCUCCCUGGAGGGCACGUAUCUGUUGAUGGUCGUCAACUUCGUGUUCACGG